AUUUGACGUUACCUACAGAAGAAGCACCGGCUAACUCCGUGCCAGCAGCCGCGGUAAUACGGAGGGGUGCGAGCGUUAAUCGGAAUUACUGGGCGUAAAGCGCAUGCAGGCGGCCNGUUAAGUCAGAUGUGAAAGCCCGGGGCGUUAACCUCGGAAUUGCAUUUGAAACUAGGCAGGCUAGAGUCUUGUAGAGGGGGGUAGGAAUUUCAGGUGUAGCGGUGAAAUAGCGUAGAGAUCUGAAGGAAUACCAGUGGCGAAGGCGGCCCCCUCGGACAAAGACUGACGCUCAGAUGCGAAAGCGUGGGGAGCAAACAGGAUUAGAUACCCUGGUAG
rnacentral:rRNA from 1 species